rnacentral:rRNA from 1 species
CGCGGGGGCAACCCUGGCGGCGAGCGGCGCACGGGUGAGUAAUGCAUCGGAACGUGUCCUCUUGUGGGGGAUAACCAGUCGAAAGACUGGCUAAUACCGCAUGAGAUCGAGAGAUGAAAGCAGGGGACCCGCAAGGGCCUUGCGCGAGAGGAGCGGCCGAUGCCCGGUUAGCUAGUUGGUGGGGUAAAAGCCUACCAAGGCGACGAUCGGUAGCUGGUUUGAGAGAACGACCAGCCACACUGGGACUGAGACACGGCCCAGACUCCUACGGGAGGCAGCAGUGGGGAAUUUUGGACAAUGGGGGCAACCCUGAUCCAGCCAUGCCGCGUGUGUGAAGAAGGCCUUCGGG